rnacentral:lncRNA from 1 species
AGCCGCCUGCCGGGCUGACGUUUCGCGCUGAGUCUGGGAAUUCCACCCCCCCCCCCCCCCCCCUCGAGUGACGUCAUCGCUGUCCUUAUAUCGAGAGGCGGCGGCCGCCUGGGCACAAUAGAGCGGCAGCGAUGACACAGAGAGGAGCAAUGGAAACAGACACGGAGCGAGCGGAGCCAGCGUCAGAACAUGGCACCCCCCUGUACCCCUCUGAUGGCGGCUGAGGAUCCCCUGCGUCCCCCCUUGCUCCAUGCCCUUUUCUACCGCCCGGAGCCUGACGAGGACGACGAUGACGAGCAGGGGUGGGACGGGGACAGCCCCGGCACCCCCCCAACGGAUGGGGACCCUCCCAAAAUUGAGGAAUCCCCGAAGGCUGAAGAACCCGUGAGCAGCGAGGACCGCGGCACCAAGAAAGUACGGUUCAAUCUUCAGGUCCAGGUGUUCCUGCUCCAGCCCCCUCCAGACCCUGAUGCCCGCCGAGGUCCUUGGGAGACCAUGGCCCGCGACCGCCUGCGCUUUGCCCGCCGCCGGGCCCUGCUGCGCCCCGUCCUCGACCCCGUCCUGCAGCCUGCCCACCGGGAGCGUGUUUGGGAACGGCUGCAGCGAGGGGAGAGCCUCCGGGACCCCCCGAGGACCCCGCUGCUGGAGGAACCCCCCCAGGAACCCCCAGGCUGAUGGGAAGCCCCGAGACCCCCACUUGUUGAAGAGGAGUACCCCACGGACGGGGAAGGCCCUGAAUGCUCAGGGUGGGGGGGGAGGGUGAUAGGGGCUGACCUCCCCCCCCCCCCUCCUUCCCCCACUGUUAUUUAUUUAUUAUUUAUUUUAUAUGUAUUUAUAUUUUUAUUUAUUAAACCUGUAAAAUAAACUCACUUUUACACCUACA